UACGAAGGGGGCUAGCGUUGUUCGGAAUUACUGGGCGUAAAGCGUGCGCAGGCGGCUUCUCAAGUCAGGGGUGAAAGCCCAGAGCUUAACUCUGGAAUUGCCUUUGAGACUGAGAGGCUUGAGUACGGGAGAGGUGAGUGGAAUUCCCAGUGUAGAGGUGAAAUUCGUAGAUAUUGGGAAGAACACCGGUGGCGAAGGCGGCUCACUGGCCCGGUACUGACGCUGAGGUGCGAAAGCGUGGGGAGCAAACAGG
rnacentral:rRNA from 1 species